rnacentral:rRNA from 1 species
GAUGAACGCUGGCGGCGUGCCUAACACAUGCAAGUCGAGCGAUUCUCUCCGGAGAAGAGCGGCGGACGGGUGAGUAACGCGUGGGUAACCUGCCUCAUACACAUGGAUAACAUACCGAAAGGUAUGCUAAUACAAGAUGAUGUAAGAGAUUCGCAUGAAUUUCUUAUCAAAGCCCCGGCGGUAUGAGAUGGACCCGCGUCAGAUUAGCUAGUUGGUAAGGUAACGGCUUACCAAGGCGACGAUCAGUAGCCGACAUGAGAGGGUGAUCGGCCACAUUGGAACUGAGACACGGUCCAAACGCCUACGGGAGGCAGCGGGGGGGAAUAUUGCACAAUGGGCGAAGGCCUGAUGCAGCAACGCCGCGUGAGCGAUGAAGGCCUUCGGGUCUUAAAGCUCUGUCCUCAAGGAAGAUAAUGACGGUACUUGGGGAGGAAGCCCCGGCUAACUACGUGCCAGCCGCCGCCGUAAGAC